AUCACUUGGGAAUGUUGUUAAACUGCAGAUUCUAAUUGAGGUUUGGCACUGGGCCUGAGAUUCUGCAUUUCUAACAAACUCCCAGGAGAUGGUGA
rfam:Ailuropoda melanoleuca scaffold1120_34, whole genome shotgun sequence.